AUUGAACGCUGGCGGCAGGCUUAACACAUGCAAGUCGAGCGGAGUGAUGGUGCUUGCACUAUCACUUAGCGGCGGACGGGUGAGUAAUGCUUAGGAGUCUGCCAUUUAGUGGGGGACAACAUUCCGAAAGGAAUGCUAAUACCGCAUACGUCCUACGGGAGAAAGCAGGGGAUCUUCGGACCUUGCGCUAAUAGAUGAGCCUAAGUCGGAUUAGCUAGUUGGUGGGGUAAAGGCCUACCAAGGCGACGAUCUGUAGCGGGUCUGAGAGGAUGAUCCGCCACCCUGGGACUGAGACACGGCCCAGACUCCUACGGGAGGCAGCAGUGGGGAAUAUUGGACAAUGGGCGGAAGCCUGAUCCAGCCAUGCCGCGUGUGUGAAGAAGGCCUUAUGGUUGUAAAGCACUUUAAGCGAGGAGGAGGCUACUUUAGUUAAUACCUAGAGAUAGUGGACGUUACUCGCAGAAUAAGCACCGGCUAACUCUGUGCCAGCCGCCGCCGUAACAC
rnacentral:rRNA from 1 species